rnacentral:rRNA from 1 species
UACGGGGGGGGCAAGCGUUGUUCGGAAUUACUGGGCGUAAAGGGCACGUAGGCGGCCAACUAAGUCGGAUGUGAAAUCCCCAGGCUUAACCUGGGAACUGCAUCCGAUACUGGAUGGCUUGAAUCCGGGAGAGGGAUGCGGAAUUCCAGGUGUAGCGGUGAAAUGCGUAGAUAUCUGGAGGAACACCGGUGGCGAAGGCGGCAUCCUGGACCGGCAUUGACGCUGAGGAGCGAAAGCCAGGGGAGCAAACGGG